AAGUCGUAACAAGGUUUCCGUAGGUGAACCUGCGGAAGGAUUAUUAACACGUAUCCAAACGUUAAAACCCCCCCCGUGAACCUUCAUCCUGCUCUUGUAACCCGCGUAGUUCGCAAUCUCUGAUACAUCAUAGCCCGGAAAGUUGUAGUGAUUCAGAGACCUCUGGCUACGUUGUGCAAGGAUAGCGCUUCUACGAUUCCUGUAGACCGUACACUCGGGCAGGAGCUUUGCCAAAGGGUCCCCAUGCCCCCUAAUAACCCCACAGUUUAAUGUGAAGCUCAAUGUAAUACAUUGGGUAAAAAAACCGAACAACUGUCAAUGGAUAUCUUGGUUCUC
rnacentral:misc_RNA from 1 species